rnacentral:rRNA from 1 species
ACAAAUGACUCUCGGCAACGGAUAUCUCGGCUCACGCAUCGAUGAAGAACGUAGCAAAAUGCGAUACUUGGUGUGAAUUGCAGAAUCCCGUGAACCAUCGAGUUUUUGAACGCAAGUUGCGCCCGAAGCCUUUUGGCUGAGGGCACGCCUGCCUGGGCGUCACAC